AGCCGCGGUAAUACGGAGGGAGCUAGCGUUGUUCGGAAUUACUGGGCGUAAAGAGCUCGUAGGCGGCUCAGUAAGUCGGGUGUGAAACCCCUAGGCUCAACCUAGGGACGCCACCCGAUACUGCUGUGGCUAGAGUCCAGUAGGGGAGUGUGGAAUUCCCGGUGUAGCGGUGAAAUGCGCAGAUAUCGGGAGGAACACCAGCGGCGAAGGCGGCACUCUGGGCUGGAACUGACGCUGAGGAGCGAAAGCGUGGGUAGCAAAC
rnacentral:rRNA from 1 species